rnacentral:rRNA from 1 species
CAAGACCUUGCGCUUUUGGAGCGNGCCGAUGCCUGAUUAGCUAGUUGGUGAGGUAACGGCUUNACCAAGGCGACGAUCAGUAGCUGGUCUGAGAGGACGACCAGCCACACUGGGACUGAGACACGGCCCAGACUCCUACGGGAGGCAGCAGUGGGGAAUUUUGGACAAUGGGGGAAACCCUGAUCCAGCCAUGCCGCGUGAGUGAAGAAGGCCUUCGGGUUGUAAAGCUCUUUCAGCCGGNAACGAAACGNGUCACGGCUAAUAUCCGUGACAACUGACGGUANNCCGGAAGAAGAAGCACCGGCUAACUACGUGCCAGCAGCCGCGGUAAUACGUAGGGUGCGAGCGUUAAUCGGAAUUACUGGGCGUAAAGCGUGCGCAGGCGGUUUUGNUAAGUCAGAUGUGAAAGCCCCCGGCUUAACCUGGGAACU